UGGUCAGUUUACGGCUUCCGAACGGAC
rnacentral:piRNA from 1 species